AUUUAUCCCUAUCAUUCCAUAAAUCUCUACCCUUCAUUUUACAAUGGCAUUUUGGUAGAUACUUGAUCCAUCCAAGGGUUACCAUAAACGGCUUUUUGUGGGAAACCCUACCCGCACCGUUAUUCUCAUCCUUCACACUCCUGUUGUCCUUUUUUUCUUUUUCUUUUUGGGAAAAAUCACUUUCCGGCUGUCUCCUCUCCCUCCCUCUCUCUUUGUUCGAUCGACCCACCACCAUAGACCCACCACAUCCCUCUCUCCCUCCUACCUACAACACCACCACAAGCCCUCGGAAACUGAAUCCCAGUCGCUCCUCUCUGGCGAUCCCGAUUGGACACCACUAACACCACCAACCGGCGCGACAAGUCAACACUGGAACCACCACCGUUCGAGGUUCUCAGGGUUCGAAUCGAUGGCAUGUAGUUCUUCUUUACCCCAAAAGGUAUGAGUACUUCUCAGGUUAUGGUUGUUCUCUCUCCAAGGGAUUUCUUCUACCGCCAACUGUGGCCGAUCGAACUUUGCGCUCACCCAAGUAGCGGGAACAACCGAGGUCAAAGGUGGAGAAACUGAAAGUGGAGCAAUGUAGGUAUAUUUGAGGAAAAAUGGGUUGAGGUAGACUGGGAACAAAGACACCCACAUUGGGCGCAUUAAAGAGCAUCU